rnacentral:rRNA from 1 species
GGGGGCUCCGGAAUAUUGGGCGUAAGAGCUCGUAGGCGGUUUGUCGCGUCUGCCGUGAAAGUCCGGGGCUCAACUCCGGAUCUGCGGUGGGUACGGGCAGACUAGAGUGAUGUAGGGGAGACUGGAAUUCCUGGUGUAGCGGUGAAAUGCGCAGAUAUCAGGAGGAACACCGAUGGCGAAGGCAGGUCUCUGGGCAUUAACUGACGCUGAGGAGCGAAAGCAUGGGGAGCGAACAGGAUUAGAUACCCUGGUAGUCCAUGCCGUAAACGUUGGGCACUAGGUGUGGGGGACAUUCCACGUUUUCCGCGCCGUAGCUAACGCAUUAAGUGCCCCGCCUGGGGAGUACGGCCGCAAGGCUAAAACUCAAAGGAAUUGACGGGGGCCCGCACAAGCGGCGGAGCAUGCGGAUUAAUUCGAUGCAACGCGAAGAACCUUACCAAGGCUUGACAUGAACCGGAAACGUCUGGAAACAGGCGCCCCACUUGUGGUCGGUUUACAGGUGGUGCAUGGUUGUCGUCAGCUCGUGUCGUGAGAUGUUGGGUUAAGUCCCGCAACGAGCGCAACCCUCGUUCCAUGUUGCCAGCGCGUAAUGGCGGGGACUCAUGGGAGACUGCCGGGGUCAACUCGGAGGAAGGUGGGGACGACGUCAAAUCAUCAUGCCCCUUAUGUCUUGGGCUUCACGCAUGCUACAAUGGCCGGUACAAAGGGUUGCGAUACUGUGAGGUGGAGCUAAUCCCAAAAAGCCGGUCUCAGUUCGGAUUGGGGUCUGCAACUCGACCCCAUGAAGUCGGAGUCGCUAGUAAUCGCAGAUCAGCAACGCUGCGGUGAAUACGUUCCCGGGCCUUGUACACACCGCCCGUCAAGUCACGAAAGUUGGUAACACCCGAAGCCGGUGGCCUAACCCCUUGUGGGAGGGAGCUGUCGAAGGUGGGACCGGCGAUUGGGACUAAGUCGUACAGGGGUAACCCGUAAAAA